CCAGCAUUGCCUGUACUUCAGGCUCGGCAUGAUGCUCCUGAAACUUCCGUUUUGGUGCCAUAUUGCGAGCUUUCCGAGUACCUCUCGCUGCGAGGGAGGGUUGACCAAGAGGCACACAGGUCAACCACUGGAUCCUGAAGUGGUGCGACUGUUAGAGGCCAUGAGCUACUGCAGGUAUGAUUUCUCAGUAAGGCCUGAGGGAAAUGGUCAUAACAAGUCGUUUGUGGAACCACCUCCAACGUGGCCUGGAAUAAGUUAUCCAGCGUUGUUUAUCAGCAGCGUCUACGAGAUUAGCUAAUGCCACAGAUGGCGGCAAGCAAGGGAGCGAGUAUUUCUGUGGUGGUUCCCUUAUCACUCCCAAUCACAUCCUCACAGCUGCUCAUUGUCUGAUCACGAACAGGUAGGUUCAAGGCCUUUCCAGGUGUCCAGAUUUGGAAGGCAGCUUCCAUCCUGGUUGCUUCUCACCGUCAUACGAUCUGGAGGGGAAGGAC